rnacentral:snoRNA from 1 species
AAUCCAUGGUGCUGGCAUUUUUUAAUCAACAUUUUGAAGCGUUCCAACACCUCAUAAAAACUUUCUGUUCUAUCUGUCUAAGGAAAAUGAUCUCUCUUCUUAGUUG